UGAUGUGGCCAAACCUACUUGACAAAGCCUGAUCUUGUCACAUCUCAGAAGCUACGCAGGGCUGGGCCUGGUUAGGAGUUGGAUGGGAGACUACUGGGAAUACCAGGAGCUACAGUGG
rnacentral:rRNA from 1 species